CUACGGGUGGCAGCAGUGGGGAAUUUUGGACAAUGGGCGCAAGCCUGAUCCAGCCAUGCCGCGUGAGUGAAGAAGGCCUUCGGGUUGUAAAGCUCUUUCGGCAGGAACGAAAUGGUUCGUGCCAAUACCACGGACUGAUGACGGUACCUGAAGAAGAAGCACCGGCUAACUACGUGCCAGCAGCCGCGGUAAUACGUAGGGUGCAGGCGUGAAUCGGAAUUACUGGGCGUAAAGCGUGCGCAGGCGGUUUCUUAAGUCAGAUGUGAAAGCCCCGGGCUUAACCUGGGAACUGCGUUUGAAACUGGGAGACUUGAGUGUGGCAGAGGGGGGUGGAAUUCCACGUGUAGCAGUGAAAUGCGUAGAUAUGUGGAGGAACACCGAUGGCGAAGGCAGCCCCCUGGGUUAACACUGACGCUCAUGCACGAAAGCGUGGGGAGCAAACAGGAUUAGAUACCCCAGUAGUC
rnacentral:rRNA from 1 species